rnacentral:rRNA from 1 species
CCUACGGGGGGCAGCAGUGAGGAAUAUUGGUCAAUGGGCGUAAGCCUGAACCAGCCAAGUCGCGUGAGGGAUGAAGGUUCUAUGGAUCGUAAACCUCUUUUAUAAGGGAAUAAAGUGUGGGACGUGUCCUGUUUUGUAUGUACCUUCUGAAUAAGGAUCGGCUAACUCCGUGCCAGCAGCCGCGGUAAUACGGAGGAUCCGAGCGUUAUCCGGAUUUAUUGGGUUUAAAGGGUGCGUAGGCGGCCUUUUAAGUCAGCGGUGAAAGUCUGUGGCUCAACCAUAGAAUUGCCGUUGAAACUGGGAGGCUUGAGUAUGUUUGAGGCAGGCGGAAUGUGUGGUGUAGCGGUGAAAUGCUUAGAUAUCACGCAGAACCCCGAUUGCGAAGGCAGCCUGCCAAGCCAUGACUGACGCUGAUGCACGAAAGCGUGGGGAUCAAACAGGAUUAGAUACCCCGGUAGUC